rnacentral:lncRNA from 1 species
AUGCAGGCCAGGGCUGCCGCCAGGAGGCAGGCGGCAUGCAGCAGCACCAGCGCCACGGCGAAGCCCAGGGCGGCCGGCUGGCCGGCGGGCGGGGCAUGGGGCAGGCAGAGUGGGGAGGCGCCAUACUCGCCCACCGAGGCCAGCGGCAGGGCAGCCAGCCCGCCAGCGCCAGGCAGCCCAGAGCCCCCGCGCGCACACUGCCCACGGCUGGCGCCUUCCCGCGGGCCCGCACGCAGGCCGCGGCCACGCUGCAGUGUGCCGCACCCAGGCUCAGCAGCAGCACGGAUGCCUCGGAGCCCAGCACAGCCAGGAAGCCCGCCGCCCGGCAGCCCGGGCCUGCCUCCCAGCGCGCGCCGAACUCGGCAAACUGGCCGAAGGUCAGCGCAUCGACGGAGGCGAGGAGGCCGCAGGAGAGGCCGGUCAGGGCGUUGGCACCCGCGAGGGCCCCCACCACAAACUUGGCCGGGGGCAGCGGGCCGGGCCCGCCACGGAGAGGCUCAGCAGCACCAGCACGUUGCAGAGCAGGGCCAGCAGCACGACGGCCCACACGGCCAGGCGGACGCCCCAGCUCUCGAAGAGGUGCUCGCAGGGCUUGAAGGGGCCUGCGGGAGAGAGGCAGACGCUAGGCAGGCCGGGCCGCACAGCUCUGCCCUCUGCCCAUGGCCUGGGCUUGGGCUCCGGCGGGCAGGGGCAGAGCGGACACCCGGAGGGCCUCUUCCCCCUGUGGCUGGGGGUGGACACGGGCCCAGGACCCCAGGAGCAGAUGUGGGAGACACACACACACCGAAGCAGCGCAGGGAGGCCCUCCCUGCAGAGCAGCGUCCAGAAGCAAGGGCGGGACAGGCCGGCCUGGCGGAGUGGCCGGGGCACCGCUGUGGGGCAGGCCAGGCCGACCGCAGAGGGAGAGGGGUGGCCGGCUCUGCUUCUCAGGACGGUGCCACCCCAGCGAGAGGAGGCUCCAUGGCCACACUCAGUGCCCCGGAGUCGGUUGGUGCUGGGGGCAAAGCACGGGGAGGACUGGUAGCCCUGGGGUCUGCCUGCCGGUUCCGGCCCUGGGCAGGGAGGCCUGGCCUUGUCCCCCUCUCUCGGGGCCGUCAUCAAACCACCCUGUCGCUUUGA